GAUGAACGCUGGCGGCGUGCCUAAUACAUGCAAGUCGAGCGAACAGAUGAGAAGCCUGCUUUUCUGAUGUUAGCGGCGGUCGGGUGAGUAACACGUGGGUAACCUACCUAUAAGACUGGGAUAAAUACGGGAAACCGGGGCUAAUACCGGAUAAUAUUUUGAACCGCAUGGUUCAAUAGUUAAAGACGGUUACGGCUGUCACUUAUAGAUGGACCCGCGACGUAUUAGCUAGUUGGGAAGGUAACGGCUUACCAAGGCGACGAUACGUAGUCGACCUGAGAGGGUGAUCGGCCACACUGGAACUGAGACACGGUCCAGACUCCUACGGGAGGCAGCAGUAGGGAAUCUUCCGCAAUGGGCGAAAGCCUGACGGAGCAACGCCGCGUGAGUGAUGAAGGUCUUCGGAUCGUAAAACUCUGUUGUUAGGGAAGAACAAAUUUGUUAGUAACUGAAUAAGUCUUGACGGUACCUAACCAGAAAGCCACGGCUAACUACGUGCCAGCCGCCGCGGUAAGAC
rnacentral:rRNA from 1 species